rfam:Dipodomys ordii contig_20167, whole genome shotgun sequence.
GGGAAUGUGGCUUAGUGGUAGAGUGCUUGCCUAGCAUGCAUGAAACUCUGAGUUCAAUUCCUCAGUACCA